ACCACCUCACGUGCCCGAGCCCUGUGACUCGGUGACCGCUCUGCUCUGUGACCCGUUUCCCCUUGUAAGGGCUCUGCUGCUCGUCAGCCCGCGGCGGGCGGCUUCGGUGGGGCGAGCCACGCGGCCUCCAGAGGGCGCGGCGCGGCUUCUGGGAAACGUCUUAGCGCCGGAGCUUUCCCGUGACCAUCCAGGGCUACACAACCCGCGUGUAGGCGUCCCCGUUACUACCGCCAGGCCCGGGUGUGAGGCUGAGGGACGGUGAUGUCACCGACGCCCACCCCGUCUGGAGGCCUCCUGCCAACUCCCACCUCAAAGCCACCGUGAAGGAGUCUUGGCCCUGGCUGGCGGAGAAAUCUGCAACUAGAAGACACUGGAGCCUAAACAAAUAUAUCAUGAAGAACAGGCAAAGGCAAGCAGGCCUGAACACAGAGACAAGAGCUUAAUGACAGUGCAUGUUGCCCUCCAUCCGUUCCUAGCUGGCCCUCAACACACUAGGUGUUUAAGAUGACAUACUCUCUCAUUUACAUUGGCUUGCUCGAGGUGAUUUAAGAGAUUUUGAGCUGCAAAACUUUGAGAAAGUUCUAAAAUGCUUAUUCUUCUUAUACUGAAAUGCACUGCCACACAGUCUUAUAUUUUCCUAAGGUAGAAUCUGAUUCUAUUUCCUUUUGCACAAUACAUUUGAACCACACUGUAGAGUUUUAGUCACUAUAGAAAGUCAACAUGGCUGAGUUCCAGGUUUGUUUUGUAGAUUUUUUUCCUCCCUCACUUUUUCAGUAGCACUUUCCCAACACAAAGGCAGUAUCUUAGGGUUUCAUUGCGAUGAAGAGACACAAUGGCCAAGGCAACUCUAGUAAAGGCAAACAUUUCAUUGGUGCUGGUUUACAGUUUCAGAGGUUUGGUCCAUUAUCAUGGCAGGAAGCAUGGCAGCAGACAUGGUAGUGGAGAAACCAAAAGUUCAACAUUUUGAUCUGAAGGCAGCUAGGAGGAGACUGUGUUCAGCAGGCAGCAGGGAAGAAACUCUAAUUCCACACUAUGUCAAGCUUGAGCUAAAUGACACACUUCUUCCAAUAAGGCCAGACCUUCUCCAAUAAGGCCACACUUCCUAAUAGUGUCCUCACUAUGGCCAAGCCUUGAAACACUUGAAUCUAUGAGGGCCAAACCUAUUCAAACCACUAUAGGCAACAAGAAACAAAUUUAAAGACCUAAAAUCAUUGACUGUAUCUAAUCAAAAAUCACAUAGACUCCCACUGUCUUCGUACUGUCUUUCAGUGUCCAAGGAACAGUUCCAUCUAUCUGUAACAAGGCUCCCUUGACAAAGGAUCAAAUUACAAUGUGGAUUUGUGUUUCCUAAAAGCUUCUUUAAUUUGGAGUUAGCUUAGCACAUGCUAUAUUGCAUGGCCAUUCUCUUCCAUGUAGAGGAUGGCUAGGUCGCCAAUCCUACUCAACUGUUAUGCAUACUUUGCCCCUAACCUGGGCAAGCUUUGUGCAAUUUAUACUCCAGGGAAACUGUGGUUGGGCAUUCUUCCUGUGGUAACUUACUCAGGAGUUUGUCAUUAUAACUUAAAUACUCUGGAUCUAAUAUCAUUAAAAAUAGAAGCAAAAAUCCUAGGAUCCU
ensembl:lincRNA